rnacentral:misc_RNA from 1 species
GAUGAGAACGUAGCGAAAUGCGAUAAGUAGUGUGAAUUGCAGAAUUCAGUGAAUCAUCGAAUCUUUGAACGCACAUUGCGCCUCCUGGUAUUCCGGGAGGCAUGCCUGUUCGAGCGUCAUUAAAAUCACUCAAGCUUAGGUUUACCUAUUGCUUGGUCUUGGAGAUGGAAGCCAAUUUAUUGGAAUCCUCUUCGAAAUUCAAUGGCGAAGACCCUUGCUCUCCCAAGUGUAGUAAUAACUUAUGUCACUGAAGGAAGCGAGAAAUCUUCUGCCGUAACCCCCAUAUUUUCUAUGAUUGACCUCGGAUCAGGUAGGGAUACCCGCUGAACUUAAGCAUAUCAAUAAGCGGAGGA